rnacentral:rRNA from 1 species
UACAAGAACGCCCGGGCUUCGGCCUGGUUAUUCAUAACCCUUUGUUGUCCGACUCUGUUGCCUCCGGGGCGACCCUGCCUUCGGGCGGGGGCUCCGGGUGGACACUUCAAACUCUUGCGUAACUUUGCAGUCUGAGUAAACUUAAUUAAUAAAUUAAAACUUUUAACAACGGAUCUCUUGGUUCUGGCAUCGAUGAAGAACGCAGCGAAAUGCGAUAAGUAAUGUGAAUUGCAGAAUUCAGUGAAUCAUCGAAUCUUUGAACGCACAUUGCGCCCCCUGGUAUUCCGGGGGGCAUGCCUGUUCGAGCGUCAUUUCACCACUCAAGCCUCGCUUGGUAUUGGGCAACGCGGUCCGCCGCGUGCCUCAAAUCGUCCGGCUGGGUCUUCUGUCCCCUAAGCGUUGUGGAAACUAUUCGCUAAAGGGUGUUCGGGAGGCUACGCCGUAAAACAACCCCAUUUCUAAGGUUGACCUCGGAUCAGGUAGGGAUACCCGCUGAACUUAAGCAUAUCAAUAAGCGGAGGAAAAGAAACCAACAGGGAUUGCUCUAGUAACGGCGAGUGAAGCAGCAAUAGCUCAAAUUUGAAAUCUGGCGUCUUCGACGUCCGAGUUGUAAUUUGUAGAGGAUGCUUCUGAGUGGCCACCGACCUAAGUUCCUUGGAACAGGACGUCAUAGAGGGUGAGAAUCCCGUAUGCGGUCGGAAAGGCGCUCUAUACGUAGCUCCUUCGACGAGUCGAGUUGUUUGGGAAUGCAGCUCUAAAUGGGAGGUAAAUUUCUUCUAAAGCU